AGAGUUUGAUCAUGGCUCAGAACGUACGCUGGCGGCACGCCUAACACAUGCAAGUCGAACGAAGUAGCAAUACUUAGUGGCAGACGGGUGAGUAACAUGUGGGUAUCUGCCCUUUGGCCUGGAAUAACACGAGGAAACUUGUGCUAAUACCGGAUAAGUCUUUACGGAGAAAGCUUUAUGCACCAUUGGAUGAGCCUGCACUUGAUUAGUUUGUUGGUGGGGUAAUGGCCUACCAAGACUGUGAUCAAUAGCUGAUUUGAGAGGAUGAUCAGCCACAUUGGGACUGAGACACGGCCCAAACUCCUACGGGAGGCAGCAGUGGGGAAUCUUGCACAAUGGAGGAAACUCUGAUGCAGCGAUGCCGCGUGAGUGAAGAAGGCCCUUGGGUUGUAAAGCUCUUUCGUCGGGGAAGAAAAUGACUGUACCCGAAUAAGAAGGUCCGGCUAACUUCGUGCCAGCCGCCGCGGUAAUAC
rnacentral:rRNA from 1 species